UAGGGAAUCUUCGGCAAUGGGGGGAACCCUGACCGAGCAACGCCGCGUGAGUGAAGAAGGUUUUCGGAUCGUAAAGCUCUGUUGUUAAGGAAGAACGAGUGUGAGAAUGGAAAGUUCAUACUGUGACGGUAAUUAACCAGAAAGGGACGGCUAACUACGUGCCAGCAGCCGCGGUAAUACGUAGGUCCCGAGCGUUGUCCGGAUUUAUUGGGCGUAAAGCGAGCGCAGGCGGUUAGAUAAGUCUGAAGUUAAAGGCAGUGGCUCAACCAUUGUAGGCUUUGGAAACUGUUUAACUUGAGUGCAGAAGGGGAGGGUGGAAUUCCAUGUGUAGCGGUGAAAUGCGUAGAUAUAUGGAGGAACACCGGUGGCGAAAGCGGCUCUCUGGUCUGUAACUGACGCUGAGGCUCGAAAGCGUGGGGAGCGAACAGG
rnacentral:rRNA from 1 species